rnacentral:rRNA from 1 species
UACGAAGGGGGGCUAGCGUUGUCCGGAAUCAUUGGGCGUAAAGAGCGUGUAGGCGGCCUGGUAAGUCCGCUGUGAAAGUCCAGGGCUCAACCCUGGAAUGCCGGUGGAAACUGUCAGGCUCGAGUCCGGAAGAGGCGAGUGGAAUUCCUGGUGUAGCGGUGAAAUGCGCAGAUAUCAGGAGGAACACCAAUGGCGAAGGCAGCUCGCUGGGACGGUACUGACGCUGGAGACGCGAAAGCGUGGGGAGCAAACAGG